AUUGAACGCUGGCGGCAGGCCUAACACAUGCAAGUCGAGCGAGCGUCGGACGGGUGAGUAAUGUAUGGGGACUGCCCGAUAGAGGGGGAUAACUACUGGAAACGGUAGCUAAUACCGCAUACUAUAGGAUAAUCCAGAUGGGAUUAGCUAGUUGGUGAGGUAAUGGCUCACCAAGGCGACGAUCACUAGCUGGUCUGAGAGGAUGACCAGCCACACUGGAACUGAGACACGGCCCAGACUCCUACGGAGGCAGCAGUGGGGAAUAUUGCACAAUGGGCGCAAGCCUGAUGCAGCCAUGCCGCGUGUAUGAAGAAGGCCCUAGGGUUGUAAAGUACUUUCAGUCGGGAGGCGUUACCGACAGAAGAAGCACCGGCUAACUACGUGCCAGCCGCCGCGGUAAUAC
rnacentral:rRNA from 1 species